GACGAACGCUGGCGGCGUGCCUAACACAUGCAAGUCGAACGGAGAUACGAUUUCGGUUGUAUCCUAGUGGCGAACGGGUGAGUAACGCGUGAACAACCUGACUCUAAGAGGGGGAUAACACUUGGAAACGGGUGCUAAUACCGCAUAAGACCACGACCCGGCAUCGGGAUGAGGUCAAAGGAGCAAUCCGCUGAGAGAGGGGUUCACGUCCCAUUAGAUAGAUGGCGGGGUAACGGCCCACCAUGUCAACGAUGGGUAGCCGAGCUGAGAGGCUGAUCGGCCACACGGGAACUGAGACACAGUCCAGAUUCCUACGGGAGGCAGCAGUGGGGAAUAUUGGGCAAUGGGCGCAAGCCUGACCCAGCCACGCCGCGUGAGGGAAGAAGGCUUUCGGGUUGUAAACCUCUGUCCUUGGUGACGAAACAAAUGACGGUAGCCAAGGAGGAAGCCCCGGCUAACUACGUGCCAGCCGCCGCCGUAACAC
rnacentral:rRNA from 1 species